GCUCGCGACGGCGGCACGUAUACUAAAAUUGGAACAAUACAGAGAUUAGCAUGGCCCCUGUGCAAGGAGGGCACACAUAUUCGUGAAGCAUUCCAUAUUAAA
rnacentral:snRNA from 1 species